UCGCUCCUAACCUAAUUCCUUCUCAUACCCGAGCCUCCUCACUCGAGCAAGUCGCGCACCUUGCAUGGUGGUGAGGAUGCCUGGGCCAUGGCGACAAGGACACCCACGGCAGUAAGGACGUUGGCGGCCGCUUUAAAGCCGCCAUUGGUAAGCCUCCAGUGCUCAACAUCCUCACCUUGGCCAAGAUCGAAAGCGACCAAAUCAAGCCUCCCCAACAAGUUAUCCCCAAGUAUGUCAAGUGUUUCUCCUACGAUGAUGGCUCCGAUCUCCUCGAGGUCCGACUCUAAGGCCCCUGCUAUGUGCACUACGAAGAUGGGCUCACCUACUUCGACAGCGAGGUGAGGGGGAACCUCAGCUACGGCACGCUCCGUAGGGUGGUCGGGUGGGCAUAGGAGGAGCUGUUCCUUAAAUUCCCGAUCAAGGGGAUCAUGGUCACCGAUCCCACCUCUGGCAUGAUCCACUUUGACAUCGGCAUCGCCCGCAAGCGCCUUGCUGCCUCUGCCUUCGACAUGCCGCCGGAAUGCCGCCCGGAAGUGGAAGAAGCGACCGUCAGAAUAGUUCCUUUGCAGAGUCAUUGCAAAUAGUUGGUGGAUUUCUUCAUCAGAGUUGAUCAUCAUAAAAAAAAUAAUUCAUAAAAUUGCCAAUGGUUGCCUUACUCAAGUUGAGGUUAAGAUCCAAGGUUUUGUUCUUAUUGCAAAGGGUUUAUUUGCAUCUUUCAAGGAUGAGGCUAUCUUCUCCAUUCUCUCUGAUCACCAAAAGAAGGAACAAAAUAGAGAAAAACAAAAUGUUGAUGACUACUCUACUCAUUCUUCAUUCAAUCUUCAAUCUUGAUGUGAUGUGGUGGGUGGAAAAUUUGCUAGAGGGUUACAAUCUACAGUGAUGAGAUGUGAUGAGUGACUCAUGUAAGGGGAGGGUGUAUGAAGUUCAACACGAUUGACACUUUGGAAGAUCAAACCACUCAAGUUUCAACAAAUUUGCUCUAAUAAGAAGAAUAAAGAAUUAUCAUAAAAAGUUGAAGACAUGCAGCUACUAGCAAGAGGAUGGAGGAAGAAAUUAUUAAAAGGAAAAGAAAAUUGGAAUUGUAAUGUGUGAUUGCUUUUAUCUUAAAACUAUGUGAAUAUUUAUUUAUCUCAAUGUUAAUCAUAUUGUACUUUUGGAUUUAGAAAUUA